ACAUUAGUUGCAUGUCAUGUUGCAAGCAAAUUACCUUCAACACAUUCUGCAAAUAAAGGUAGAAAUAAUUUAGAAAUCAAUCUACAAAAUGAUAAUUUAGUGCCAAAAGAUUACUUGCUUUUAAAGAAAGUUCCAAAUUGCAAAUUUUGUGUAGCAAAAAGGUUUCAAUAUGAAUCACCAGGUUUUUGUUGUGAUAAUGGAUCAAUUAGACUAACUUCUCAUAGGAUGCCUACUGAGUUGCGAAAUUUGUUCUUGGGUGACUCCAAAGAAUGUCAACAUUUUCGCACUUAUAGUAGAGCCUACAAUAAUAUGUUUGCCUUCACUUCACUUGGAGUACGUUAUGAUAAAGAAUUAGCAAA